rnacentral:misc_RNA from 1 species
UGUGUGUGUGUGUGUGUGUGUGUAUAUGGAUAAGGUUUUUCUAACCUCUGAAACACCGUUUUCGGCGGCAUAUGCAGCGUUCGUCUAAAUUGUUUCCGAGAUCAAUUAUUGAAUUGAGAUAUGUCGAACGUGCACACUGUGAACAGUAUUAUCAGCAAUAGGAACCGCGACUGCCUCGAAUGCAGAUUGUUGAGCGGUAGUGGUCUUGUCGCCGCCGGUUUAUACGUCUGUCAUCAUUCCAAACAGUACCAGAAUCAAGUACGAAAAGCAGCGAUGUACUCUGUUGCUUCUGUACUAGUACUCCUUGGUACAGCCAGGAUUUUCGACUUACCACCUUUUCAAGAUAAAUUUAAACGCAGCUGAGGAUUAAGUUACUUAAGCAAGUGUAAAUCCAGAGCAUUUUGUAGCAAUUGCACAUAAAACAAUAUACUCGUCCAACGCCGAAACCGGAGGUGCGAUCGGAGCGACUUUUGUCAGUCUCAGACGAGGUCGUGUCUAAGGCCGUUCUCCGAGUUCUUCUGGCGCCACACCCAGGCGUUCCUGAUGGCACACGAAGAAGAGGUCGUGUG